GAGGGGUUGCUCAAAUUGCAAAAACAAAUUUGACAACAAUAACAUCACUUUUUUACGUUUCUCUGUCAAGCAUGUUUAAAUCUUACAAACAUCGCUUGAUUGUGGCCGAUGUGAGACCUGCAUGUUUUAAUCAGGUUGAGGAAACAUGAAUGUUAUAGUUGAUGUUUCAGAAAAAAGGAAGAUGUUUGAGAACCAACAAAACACAGACCACAGAUGAACAAAGUGAUGUGGCACUAGGAGACUUUAUACCAGAUGCCCUCCCUGUUACUGUGUUUAGAGGAAGAAAAGCAGCACAUGGCAGAGACCAGAGCUUCUUCACUGGAAUAAAUCUUCACACUGUCCAGCUCCAAACUGUGUGUCUCUGUCCCUGUGCUCUCUUUGUGUUUGAUUCUGUUUAAGACAAUACAGAACUGUAGAAA